GACCCCGUAGCUCAGUUGGUAAAGCAUUGGACUGGCAAGCCAAAGGUCGUGGGAUCGAUUCCCACCGUGGUCA
rnacentral:tRNA from 1 species